AUGGCUAUGACCGAGGCUACUGUUCCACGGUGGAAUUGAAAACAUCCGUGUAGUUUCCAUAGAAAACCAGGUCAAUGGUGCUUCCAUAAAGUAUUAGCCCCAGGGAAAGCCCUUGGUUGCAUGUUGCCUGUACAAAUCCAUGCAGGGUGAGUAGCAUAAGGUGCAUGUCUCUUUCAGGUAAAUUACACUUAAGGAGUCAGAUCGAUUUAGUCUUUAGUGACCUAUUUCAGAAUCUUUCUCCAGACGUUAAAGUACUAAUUGCAAGUACCAUCCCUCAUCUAUUUAUGUCUAUCUUUUCUUCUAUUUUGUGCAUUUAGGAACAUUUAUGAAGUAUCUCAUGAACACCGCAUGCACAAUGAAUAUGGUUUUGUAUCGCUUCUUAGUGUCCUUUGUCAUUUCCAACCGCAUCCUCCAGAAGGUAAAACAAGUCCUUGCUCAGCCUGUAGAAAGAAGAUUGGAAAGUGUUUGAUGGGAAUUACCAGAGCCUGCUGCCUCCCAGCUGCUGCCUGACUUUGAGUGUCAAGCAAUCAGAAAUACCAAGAUGUGUGGCAUUUCUUCAGUGUGGUGAAGGGCAGUUUUGUUCGCUUCUGACAGGUGGGUCAGCCAUUCUUGGAGCAGCAGACAGCUCGAAGUGUGUUAAUGGGGUAACUGCCAAAGUGUGUUAAUGGUGUAACUGCCAAAAAAUGAUCCUGAAGGCAUUCCCAAUAUUUCCAAGAAUAUCAUACCAAGCAAAACCACUUCUUAUGGUCAUGUGGGACACACACAGAUCAGAGUUAGAGUUGGGCUAGCAGCUAUGCCAUGUGAUGUGAGUAAAUUACCAUCUCUCUCCUCUCAAUUUAGUCACUUAUUAAACUGGGAAAUAGUCUCAGCAUGCUGUACGAGGGUACUGGGAAGACAACUUAGCCUCAGCUAAAAGUGUGCUUAAAAUUUUGCAUUGGAGAGCAUAAUAGAAGUGUGAAGCAUCUUAUGUUAGACGCUGUGGAAUUAGCAAGCAUGGCUAAUCCCUAGCAUUCAACAAUAAUUUCUCUGUACUGGGACAGAAAUACAACACCAAUAAGAAAAGUGCAGUGGCUAGACCAAUGGCAGCUGCAAUAAAGCAGCAUUUUGAUUUGUUAGUCUCUCA
rnacentral:lncRNA from 1 species